rnacentral:rRNA from 1 species
GGGUUGUGAGGUUAAGCGACUAAGCGUACACGGUGGAUGCCCUGGCAGUCAGAGGCGAUGAAGGACGUGCUAAUCUGCGAUAAGCGUCGGUAAGGUGAUAUGAACCGUUAUAACCGGCGAUUUCCGAAUGGGGAAACCCAGUGUGUUUCGACACACUAUCAUUAACUGAAUCCAUAGGUUAAUGAGGCGAACCGGGGGAACUGAAACAUCUAAGUACCCCGAGGAAAAGAAAUCAACCGAGAUUCCCCCAGUAGCGGCGAGCGAACGGGGAGCAGCCCAGAGCCUGAAUCAGUGUGUGUGUUAGUGGAAGCGUCUGGAAAGGCGCGCGAUACAGGGUGACAGCCCCGUACACAAAAAUGCACAUGCUGUGAGCUCGAUGAGUAGGGCGGGACACGUGGUAUCCUGUCUGAAUAUGGGGGGACCAUCCUCCAAGGCUAAAUACUCCUGACUGACCGAUAGUGAACCAGUACCGUGAGGGAAAGGCGAAAAGAACCCCGGCGAGGGGAGUGAAAAAGAACCUGAAACCGUGUACGUACAAGCAGUGGGAGCACGCUUAGGCGUGUGACUGCGUACCUUUUGUAUAAUGGGUCAGCGACUUAUAUUCUGUAGCAAGGUUAACCGAAUAGGGGAGCCGAAGGGAAACCGAGUCUUAACUGGGCGUUAAGUUGCAGGGUAUAGACCCGAAACCCGGUGAUCUAGCCAUGGGCAGGUUGAAGGUUGGGUAACACUAACUGGAGGACCGAACCGACUAAUGUUGAAAAAUUAGCGGAUGACUUGUGGCUGGGGGUGAAAGGCCAAUCAAACCGGGAGAUAGCUGGUUCUCCCCGAAAGCUAUUUAGGUAGCGCCUCGUGAAUUCAUCUCCGGGGGUAGAGCACUGUUUCGGCAAGGGGGUCAUCCCGACUUACCAACCCGAUGCAAACUGCGAAUACCGGAGAAUGUUAUCACGGGAGACACACGGCGGGUGCUAACGUCCGUCGUGAAGAGGGAAACAACCCAGACCGCCAGCUAAGGUCCCAAAGUCAUGGUUAAGUGGGAAACGAUGUGGGAAGGCCCAGACAGCCAGGAUGUUGGCUUAGAAGCAGCCAUCAUUUAAAGAAAGCGUAAUAGCUCACUGGUCGAGUCGGCCUGCGCGGAAGAUGUAACGGGGCUAAACCAUGCACCGAAGCUGCGGCAGCGACGCUUAUGCGUUGUUGGGUAGGGGAGCGUUCUGUAAGCCUGCGAAGGUGUGCUGUGAGGCAUGCUGGAGGUAUCAGAAGUGCGAAUGCUGACAUAAGUAACGAUAAAGCGGGUGAAAAGCCCGCUCGCCGGAAGACCAAGGGUUCCUGUCCAACGUUAAUCGGGGCAGGGUGAGUCGACCCCUAAGGCGAGGCCGAAAGGCGUAGUCGAUGGGAAACAGGUUAAUAUUCCUGUACUUGGUGUUACUGCGAAGGGGGGACGGAGAAGGCUAUGUUGGCCGGGCGACGGUUGUCCCGGUUUAAGCGUGUAGGCUGGUUUUCCAGGCAAAUCCGGAAAAUCAAGGCUGAGGCGUGAUGACGAGGCACUACGGUGCUGAAGCAACAAAUGCCCUGCUUCCAGGAAAAGCCUCUAAGCAUCAGGUAACAUCAAAUCGUACCCCAAACCGACACAGGUGGUCAGGUAGAGAAUACCAAGGCGCUUGAGAGAACUCGGGUGAAGGAACUAGGCAAAAUGGUGCCGUAACUUCGGGAGAAGGCACGCUGAUAUGUAGGUGAGGUCCCUCGCGGAUGGAGCUGAAAUCAGUCGAAGAUACCAGCUGGCUGCAACUGUUUAUUAAAAACACAGCACUGUGCAAACACGAAAGUGGACGUAUACGGUGUGACGCCUGCCCGGUGCCGGAAGGUUAAUUGAUGGGGUUAGCGCAAGCGAAGCUCUUGAUCGAAGCCCCGGUAAACGGCGGCCGUAACUAUAACGGUCCUAAGGUAGCGAAAUUCCUUGUCGGGUAAGUUCCGACCUGCACGAAUGGCGUAAUGAUGGCCAGGCUGUCUCCACCCGAGACUCAGUGAAAUUGAACUCGCUGUGAAGAUGCAGUGUACCCGCGGCAAGACGGAAAGACCCCGUGAACCUUUACUAUAGCUUGACACUGAACAUUGAGCCUUGAUGUGUAGGAUAGGUGGGAGGCUUAGAAGUGUGGACGCCAGUCUGCAUGGAGCCGACCUUGAAAUACCACCCUUUAAUGUUUGAUGUUCUAACGUUGACCCGUAAUCCGGGUUGCGGACAGUGUCUGGUGGGUAGUUUGACUGGGGCGGUCUCCUCCUAAAGAGUAACGGAGGAGCACGAAGGUUGGCUAAUCCUGGUCGGACAUCAGGAGGUUAGUGCAAUGGCAUAAGCCAGCUUGACUGCGAGCGUGACGGCGCGAGCAGGUGCGAAAGCAGGUCAUAGUGAUCCGGUGGUUCUGAAUGGAAGGGCCAUCGCUCAACGGAUAAAAGGUACUCCGGGGAUAACAGGCUGAUACCGCCCAAGAGUUCAUAUCGACGGCGGUGUUUGGCACCUCGAUGUCGGCUCAUCACAUCCUGGGGCUGAAGUAGGUCCCAAGGGUAUGGCUGUUCGCCAUUUAAAGUGGUACGCGAGCUGGGUUUAGAACGUCGUGAGACAGUUCGGUCCCUAUCUACCGUGGGCGCUGGAGAACUGAGGGGGGCUGCUCCUAGUACGAGAGGACCGGAGUGGACGCAUCACUGGUGUUCGGGUUGUCAUGCCAAUGGCACUGCGCGGUAGCUAAAUGCGGAAGAGAUAAGUGCUGAAAGCAUCUAAGCACGAAACUUGCCCCGAGAUGAGUUCUCCCUGACCCUUUAAGGGUCCUGAAGGAACGUUGAAGACGACGACGUUGAUAGGCCGGGUGUGUAAGCGCAGCGAUGCGUUGAGCUAACCGGUACUAAUGAACCGUGAGGCUUAACCUUACAACGCCGAAGCUGUU